ACCUCAACAACCAGCGGUCCUGACGUGCAAAUCGGUCGUCCGACCUGGGUAUAGGGGCGAAAGACUAAUCGAACCAUCUAGUAGCUGGUUCCCUCCGAAGUUUCCCUCAGGAUAGCUGGCGCUCAGCGUCCCUUGCAGUUUUAUCUGGUAAAGCAAAUGACUAGAGGCCCUGGGGCCGAAACGGACCUCACCCUAUUCUCAAGGUUUAAAAGGGUCAAACAUAA